GAUGAACGCUGGCGGCGUGCCUAAUACAUGCAAGUCGAGCGAACAGACGAGGAGCUUGCUCCUCUGACGUUAGCGGCGGACGGGUGAGUAACACGUGGAUAACCUACCUAUAAGACUGGGAUAACUUCGGGAAACCGGAGCUAAUACCGGAUAAUAUAUUGAACCGCAUGGUUCAAUAGUGAAAGACGGUUUUGCUGUCACUUAUAGAUGGAUCCGCGCCGCAUUAGCUAGUUGGUAAGGUAACGGCUUACCAAGGCAACGAUGCGUAGCCGACCUGAGAGGGUGAUCGGCCACACUGGAACUGAGACACGGUCCAGACUCCUACGGGAGGCAGCAGUAGGGAAUCUUCCGCAAUGGGCGAAAGCUUGACGGAGCAACGCCGCGUGAGUGAUGAAGGUCUUCGGAUCGUAAAACUCUGUUAUUAGGGAAGAACAAAUGUGUAAGUAACUAUGCACGUCUUGACGGUACCUAAUCAGAAAGCCACGGCUAACUACGUC
rnacentral:rRNA from 1 species